rnacentral:rRNA from 1 species
GAGGUAGAUAGGUUGGAGGUGGAAGUGCAGCAAUGCAUGGAGCUGACCAAUACUAAUCGGUCGAGGGCUUAUCCAAAAAAUACCC